UACAGUGGCGAAUUUAACGGGCUCAUGGGUUCCAGCUCCCUCCUCUAGAAAUUUCACAGCACCCGCAUGGAUUGUGGCUAAUGUACUGAAUUUCUUAGACAGUUAUCAGAAAGCAAAGAUGACUAGCCCUCCGUCGAAUAUUAAACCACAUACAAUAUAUUCUGUGAAGAUGUCAUAAGAGAAAGAAUCAUAAAUGGCCAGCAAAGUUGUCUUGUACAGAGAGAGAGAGAGAGAAAUGGGGUUUAACGUCCACUCAACACAAACUAGGUCAUUUUGGGACUAACAUACAGUUUCAAUUUUAUUUCAAUAAUUCGCUUGCGCGUAUGGGUCUUUAGCAGUGAGAGGAAACCGGAGUGCCCGGAGGAAACCCACGAGGUUGAGAAGACGCCUCUAUCUCCAUGCCACAUACGCUCACACCUGGGAUCAAAGCCACAGCCACAAGCCAGAGGUGACCGACCAGCUAGAGGUCGAAGCGCGGCACUCUAGGCCAUCCCAACCCCCCUUUCUUGUACAGACCUGUGCAUGUGUAGUCAAUGUGAAAAUGAAAAAAAAACUGUUAAAGAGACCGAAUUUGAUGUUAAUACAUUUAGUGACAGUGAUGAUGAUAAUGAAGAUUAACUUUGAUGACAUUUGAUGUGCAGAGUAACUGUUUAAUUUUGAUUUUCAAUGAUUGUUUCACUUUAAUAAAUAAUUUCACAACUGUU